AGUGAACGCUGGCGGCAGGCCUAACACAUGCAAGUCGAGCGGCAGCGGGAAAGUAGCUUGCUACUUUUGCCGGCGAGCGGCGGACGGGUGAGUAAUGCCUGGGAAAUUGCCCAGUCGAGGGGGAUAACAGUUGGAAACGACUGCUAAUACCGCAUACGCCCUACGGGGGAAAGCAGGGGACCUUCGGGCCUUGCGCGAUUGGAUAUGCCCAGGUGGGAUUAGCUAGUUGGUGAGGUAAUGGCUCACCAAGGCGACGAUCCCUAGCUGGUCUGAGGGGAUGAUCAGCCACACUGGAACUGAGACACGGUCCAGACUCCUACGGGAGGCAGCAGUGGGGAAUAUUGCACAAUGGGGGAAACCCUGAUGCAGCCAUGCCGCGUGUGUGAAGAAGGCCUUCGGGUUGUAAAGCACUUUCAGCGAGGAGGAAAGGUUGAUGCCUAAUACGUAUCAACUGUGACGUUACUCGCAGAAGAAGCACCGGCUAACUUCGUGCCAGCCGCCGCGGUAAGAC
rnacentral:rRNA from 1 species